rnacentral:rRNA from 1 species
CCCCAGCGCCACAAGUGGGGAUCACGUUUAUUCGGUCUAAAGCGUCCGUAGCAGGUUUUGUAAAUUUUCUGUCAAAUUGUUGCGCUUAACGUAACAGUUGCAGGAAACACUGCAUCACUUGGAACUGGGAGGGGUAAGCAGUAUUUUUGGGGGAGCGGUAAAAUGUUAUAAUCCCAAGAAGACUACCUGUGCCGAAGGGGGUUUACCAAUACAGAUUCGACUGUGAGGGACGAAAGCUAGGGGAGCAAAACGG